ACAGUGAGGCGUAUUUGCUGUAUCCGCACUUCAUUACCCACAAUCCUCUGUCAUAUGCGUCUGGGGUGUGUGAGAAAGAGACAUCUGCAGACUUUGAUUUAGCACCAAUGGCUGCAGCAGGUAUUUUCUACAGGGCUUGGCAGUAUUUUGAGUUGUAGUGAAGAAUCGCGCUUCAGUCGUUUCUCAGGAGCAUCUGUGUUAGGUGCCACUAUCACCGAUCCCUCACCCAUCAUAAGCAUCCGGACCAGAAUGGAAGCUAGUUUUGCAUCCACGUUUCCAGCAGUCCCUCAAGUAGCGAAAGCAGAAACCAAUUACAAACAGCACCGCAGAACCCCUUCCACCUCCAGCACUCUGACCUACUCCCCUCGAGACGACGACGAUGGCAUGGUAAUCACCACGCCGUCCCUUUUCAGAACAGCCAAUCACAUUUACAUAUAGAGGAAUGGAAAUCAGACGCCUCAGAGUUUUGUCCCAUGAAGUACA